rnacentral:rRNA from 1 species
AAGUUUGAUCCUGGCUCAAAUUGAACUCUGGUGGCAUGCCUUACACAUGCAAGUCGAACGGCAGCACGGGUACUUGUACCUGGUGGCGAGUGGCGAACGGGUGAGUAAUACAUCGGAACGUACCUUAUCGUGGGGGAUAACGCAGCGAAAGCUGUGCUAAUACCGCAUACGCCCUUAGGGGGAAAGCGGGGGAUCGCAAGACCUCGCGCGAUUAGAGCGGCCGAUGCCUGAUUAGCUUGUUGGUGGGGUAAAAGCCCACCAAGGCGACGAUCAGUAGCUGGUCUGAGAGGACGAUCAGCCACACUGGGACUGAGACACGGCCCAGACUCCUACGGGAGGCAGCAGUGGGGAAUUUUGGACAAUGGGGGAAACCCUGAUCCAGCAAUGCCGCGUGAGUGAAGAAGGCCUUCGGGUUGUAAAGCUCUUUUGUCAGGGAAGAAACACCGGCUCUAACACAGUCCGGGAAUGACGGUACCUGAAGAAUAAGCACCGGCUAACUACGUGCCAGCAGCCGCGGUAAUACGUAGGGUGCAAGCGUUAAUCGGAAUUACUGGGCGUAAAGCGUGCGCAGGCGGUUAUACAAGACAGGCGUGAAAUCCCCGGCUUAACCUGGGAAUGGCGCCUGUGACUGUAUAGCUAGAGUGUGUUAGAGGGGGGUAGAAUUCCACGUGUAGCAG